rnacentral:rRNA from 1 species
ACGGAAGGCAGCAGUGAGGAAUAUUGGUCAAUGGGCGAGAGCCUGAACCAGCCAAGUAGCGUGCAGGAUGACGGCCCUCCGGGUUGUAAACUGCUUUUAGUUGGGAAUAAAAAGAGGGACGUGUCCCUUAUUGUAUGUACCAUCAGAAAAAGGACCGGCUAAUUCCGUGCCAGCAGCCGCGGUAAUACGGAAGAUCCGAGCGUUAUCCGGAUUUAUUGGGUUUAAAGGGAGCGUAGGCGGGCGUUUAAGUCAGUGGUCAAAGCGUGUGGCUCAACCAUACCACGCCAUUGAUACUGGAUGCCUUGAGUGCACAUAAGGAUGGUGGAAUUCAUGGUGUAGCGGUGAAAUGCUUAGAUAUCAUGAAGAACUCCGAUUGCGAAGGCAGCUGUCCGGGGUGUAACUGACGCUAAUGCUCGAAAGUGCGGGUAUCAAACAGGAUUAGAUACCCUGGUA